rnacentral:rRNA from 1 species
GACACGUGGUAUCCUGUCUGAAUAUGGGGGGACCAUCCUCCAAGGCUAAAUACUCCUGACUGACCGAUAGUGAACCAGUACCGUGAGGGAAAGGCGAAAAGAACCCCGGCGAGGGGAGUGAAAAAGAACCUGAAACCGUGUACGUACAAGCAGUGGGAGCACAGGUUUACCUGUGUGACUGCGUACCUUUUGUAUAAUGGGUCAGCGACUUAUAUUCUGUAGCAAGGUUAACCGUAUAGGGGAGCCGGAGGGAAACCGAGUCUUAAUUGGGCGUUAAGUUGCAGGGUAUAGACCCGAAACCCGGUGAUCUAGCCAUGGGCAGGUUGAAGGUUGGGUAACACUAACUGGAGGACCGAACCGACUAAUGUUGAAAAAUUAGCGGAUGACCUGUGGCUGGGGGUGAAAGGCCAAUCAAACCGGGAGAUAGCUGGUUCUCCCCGAAAGCUAUUUAGGUAGCGCCUCGUGAAUUCAUCUCCGGGGGUAGAGCACUGUUUCGGCUAGGGGGCCAUCCCGGCUU